GGCCGGUUCCGGGUCCUUCCGUGUAAACAGUCCGGCCAGGCUUAGUAAAUGGGAAAAUGAGUAUCAGCUGUGCAACGAGUGGCGAUUGAGCCGCGAGAGAGACACGUAUUUGCAAAAGGGAUUAUAAAAGGACACGUUUGUGUGGAGAGGGUAGGACACAGAGCGGGGAGAGACUGCAUCUUAGGAGGAAGUAGCCUUAAAUUGGCGGUUUUGAUGGAUCUGGAUCUGGAUCUGGAUCUGGAUCCAUAAAGGGAGAUAAUGCUAACAGAGGAAGAGAGGCAGUGGAUCUAUGUUACUUCGUCAAGCAUACACUUCCCACACUGUUUUGGAUGUACAGUAUCGUCAAUUGAGACGAGGGAGUCAGCUGGGACUGCGAGUGGAGACCUUAUUCACUGCUGUCCGAAGAGGAACCGCUAUGUGAACCCCCUACCAGUGUCUGCUCCAUUACUUACCUCUGGCUGCCCGAAGAGGAACUGGUGUGAACCUUCUGCGCAGCCUGACGAAGAAGAGAAUCAGCUCAGCAUGUCGUUUUUUUUUUUUUUGUUUUUUUUUAGUUUAGGAUUUAGCCUAUUUUAAUUUAAUAAAAUGCAACGUUUAAGACCCAUUACCAUGUCUGGUCUCGUGGUGUCUUUGGGUAACUCCUCGAGGUGGUACGCUUAAUAGGGGUGGUGUGAGACACUGGGGGAGGCCACCCCGGCCUGUGACAUUACUGAUAUUUUUCUUACUCUA